CAGGCCAGAAGAGGCGCGUCGCCCAGGCAGUGUGUUGGAGGAACCGAAUCCAGAGAUAACACAUCAGGGGGAGCGACGCCGAGGUAUCAACCACGCGGAGUGGGGCGUAUCGACCGCAGGGGCUGAAUCCUCUGGGUUGUCACCAGCAACGUCCGGUAGUCGGGCGGCAAGGUGGGGCGCUUCUGGGUGA
rnacentral:ncRNA from 1 species